AUGCUGGUUUUGUGCUCCAUUGUACAUGUAGAGUUAAGACAAAAAAUUAAUGAUAAAGAGGUCAGAAUAGAGAAUACUACCGCCCCAUUUGGUGUCUCUUUUAUCAAGUUCUUGAUUGAUCCUCAUCCCCCCAUGUCAUUGCAAUUAGCAUCUUGCAAAACACAUCAAACAGUAAAGAAGACAUUAAUCAAAAGAGAAUACGAAAACAUGAAAACAGUAAAGAAGUUUGCUUACCCAAUUUGCAAUGCUAUUUGUCUCCCAAUUUUAGUCUGGCUUAGCAAUUUCAAUUCUCAAACUCCCAACAUGACACAAUAUUACAAAUACAAACCAUGA
rnacentral:rRNA from 1 species